UCUUCUGUAGCAAUACAGGAGAUCGGCGCACGGCGCACGGGUGCGUAACACGUGGGUAACCUGCCCUCCAAAGGGGGAUAACCCGCCGAAAGGCGGGCUAAUACCGCAUGACAUUCCGGUGGCUUCGGCCGCUGGAAUCAAAGCCCGCAAGGGCGUUGGAGGAGGGGCCCGCGGCCGAUUAGCUUGUUGGCGAGGUAAUGGCUCACCAAGGCUUUGAUCGGUAGCCGGUCUGAGAGGAUGGCCGGCCACACUGGAACUGAGACACGGUCCAGACUCCUACGGGAGGCAGCAGUGGGGAAUCUUGCGCAAUGGGCGAAAGCCUGACGCAGCGACGCCGCGUGGGGGAUGAAGCUUCUCGGAGUGUAAACCCCUUUCGACCGGGACGAAACGCCCGCAAGGGCUUGACGGUACCGGUAUAAGAAGCCCCGGCUAACUACGUGCCAGCAGCCGCGGUAAGACGUAGGGGGCCAGCGUUGCUCGGAAUUACUGGGCGUAAAGGGUUCGUAGGCGGUGCGGUAAGUCGGAAGUGAAAUCUCUGGGCUUAACUCAGAGGCUGCUUUCGAAACUGCCGUGCUAGAGUGCGGGAGAGGCGAGUGGAAUUACAGGUGUAGCGGUGAAAUGCGUAGAUAUCUGUAGGAACACCCGUGGCGAAGGCGGCUCGCUGGACCGCAACUGACGCUGAGGAACGAAAGCUAGGGGAGCAAACAGGAUUAGAUACCCUGGUAGUCCUAGCCCUAAACCAUCAGGACUUGGGGUGGCCCGCGUUGGCGGGUCGUCCCGGAGCUAACGCGUUAAGUCCUGCGCCUGGGGAGUACGGUCGCAAGGCUGAAACUC
rnacentral:rRNA from 1 species